CCCUUCGGCGAGGGCCGCAUCACCAUGCGCAAGACGGCCGCCAAGCCCAAGGUGUCCGCGUCCGGCAGCCCGUGGUACGGCUCCGACCGCGUGCUCUACCUCGGCCCACUCUCCGGCGAGCCCCCGAGCUACCUCACCGGCGAGUUCCCGGGCGACUACGGCUGGGACACCGCCGGGCUCUCCGCCGACCCCGAGACCUUCGCCAAGAACCGCGAGCUCGAGGUCAUCCACUGCCGCUGGGCUAUGCUUGGUGCCCUCGGCUGCGUCUUCCCCGAGCUGCUCGCCCGCAACGGCGUCAAGUUCGGCGAGGCCGUCUGGUUCAAGGCCGGCUCCCAGAUCUUCAGCGAGGGAGGCCUUGACUACCUCGGCAACCCCAGCCUUGUCCACGCCCAGAGCAUCCUUGCCAUCUGGGCCUGCCAGGUUGUACUCAUGGGCGCCGUCGAGGGGUACCGUGUUGCCGGUGGCCCGCUCGGUGAGAUUGUUGACCCACUCUACCCAGGCGGCAGCUUCGACCCCCUUGGCUUGGCUGACGACCCAGAGGCAUUCGCUGAGCUCAAGGUGAAGGAGAUCAAGAACGGCCGCCUCGCCAUGUUCUCCAUGUUUGGGUUCUUCGUCCAGGCCAUUGUCACCGGCAAGGGUCCCCUCGAGAACCUGGCCGACCACCUGUCCGACCCAGUGAACAACAACGCCUGGGCCUUCGCCACCAACUUCGUCCCCGGCAAGUGAGCUUAGUUAGCAAGCUCCAGCGCCUGCUCUAUGCUGAGGCGCUUGGCCGACGACGUCAUUGUUGAUGAUGGAUGCUGCUGCAUGUGUCGAGAUUGAGUCAGGAGUCAGGACUGAUAGAUGUUGCAUGUGAAAGUCAGAGAUGAGGAGUUGGUGUUGUACACUAAAGAUGGUGUUUGUGUAAUAUCCCUCGGUUAUUUGUGAGAUGAAUCCGGGCAUCUUUGUUCUUCUGCUCACUUGUUCAUUUCUCUCUCCUCUUGAAUGCGUGCUGUUUGCAUUAGAAGGAGAACGCCGAGAAAGCGCACCUCACUCGUUGCAUUGGUUCUACUUCCUCUGAAUCUGAAUGUGUCUGAAAGUUGUCUGAAUUUUCUGAAAGUCCAAGCCGGUAAGUUGUCUGAAUUUUCUGAAGUCAAAUUUCUAUUUAAAUGUUGUACAAAUCUUGGGUUCCUCCUAGUAAAAACAAACUAUGGAACACUGCCAACUAGUGCAGCUUCCUUGUGAAGAUGCUGCUGUACUACCGUCCCUGAAGAACGGUCAUGGUUAUGCUGUUCCUGGUGUUCUCAAGAUCGUCUCUCUUUGCUUCCAUCAGCGCGAGAUAGGCAGGCUGGUUUGGUUUCGGCAGCGACAAUGUCGACGACGAGGACCCGCUUCCAUUCUCCAGGAUGGACACGACGGCCGACAUGAGCGGCCUCCUGCUCGGGUCGCCCUCGACGCAGAGGAGCCCGACGUGGAUGCAGAGCAAAGCCUCCUCCUGCGAGCAGCUUCCUGCGAUGGAUGGAUCCACCAGGCCGCCUGCCUUUCCUUCCCUCCACAGGUUCCAUGCCUGCAUGAAACAAUCAAAUCAACCAUUCUGUGUUUUUUCUCUUAAAAUUCUGGUGUCAGUGGCUGUUCUAAUUCAGAUGCUCACAUAGACUAUGAGGCUUGGAAACUCCAUGAUGUCAUCAGGAGAGCUUAUCCUGACACCGCUCACGAUCUCCAGGAGCAGCACGCCGAAGCUGUAGACAUCGGACUUGACAGAGAAAACGCCCUCCGUAGAGUAUUCAGGAGCAAUGUAACCACUGUCCAGUGUCCCCACAAAGUUUUCAGAAGACGUGCCAGAAUUUUGUCAAAUGCUAAAAGCUAACUACAGCUUAAAAAGCAAAAUCUAUUUUUUUGUUUGUAAAUCUAGCUUCAGUAUUCAGAGUACUAACAAUGUUCCGACGACUCGCUUGGUGUUGGCAUUCUGCUGGUUGUCGCAGAAGAUCUUGGCCAUGCCGAAAUCCGCUAUCUUGGGCCGCAUCUCAGCAUCCAGCAGCACGUUGCUUGCCUUGAGAUCUCGGUGUAUCACUGUCAACCUCGAGUCCUGGUGGAGGUAGAGGAGCCCCCUCGCGACGCCCUUGAUUAUCUCCAGCCGCGUCGGCCAAUCCAGCACCGAUUUCCUUUCACUAUCUGAAGCAAAAAGAUCACAUGAGACCGUCAGGAAUCGUAUCAUCAUUUUCUGUUCUUUCUUUCUUCAGUAACUUGCUUGAGUUCUGAACAUAUAUACAUACCGAAGAGGAUGGCGUCCAGGCCUUUGUUGGGCAAGUACUCGUAGAUGAGCAACUUCUCUGCUCCUUCCGUGCAGCAGCCGAGGAGACGGACCAAGUUUCUGUGUUGCAGUUUGGCGAUCAGGAUGGCUUCGUUCUUGAACUCUUCUGUUCCUUGGUCAGAAUCCUUGCUCAGUCUCUUGACAGCAACCUCUCGACCGCUCUCUAAUGUCCCCUUCCGAAUGAUACAUGAAACAGGCGAGAUCAUGAGUAUAAUUCAGUAUUUCAGUGCAUCGAUCAAUGCUUCCGAGUUGAAAUUUAUUUAUUUUGGUAAACUGGAAGAAGAGAAAAAUUCUCAGAUAACUGAAAAAGUGAAAAUCAACAGGCCAGAUGAAAAAUCAUACUACCUUGUAAACCUUGCCGAACCCUCCACGCCCGAUCAUGAAUGCUUUGGAGAAGUUUCCCGUGGCGGCCACGAUGUCGACGAACCGUACGGAUGGGAACUCAAGAUCUUCAGCGUGUUCUCCUUCUCCGAUCUCAGUCGACGUAUUCGCGCUCCCGGGCACCAGCUUCUUCUGGCUCUCGGUUUUUCUCCCCUUUUCUGUAAAUUUUGAUGUCCCAAGCAUUUCAUCUCCGAUGAGCAUGGCAUGUUUAGAGAUACUAAUAAAAAGAGAGGAAGAUAAUAUAAUUGUAUGUAGCACCUCUGAACCUACAGAACCACACAAACAAAAUGCAUGCGAGCAACAAGACGCCGGCUAACACCGGCAGUGCUAUUUUCAAGGCAUUUUUGCUUGCCAUUGUACCUGCACGUGCAAAAAGUCAAAACAAUGGCAAAGUUUGGUGACACAAUCGAUUUCGGCCAAAGGGGCAAACUUCUUCUUUGAAUUCUGUUGAAAUCCAAUAAAAUUCUGGAAAAAAGUCCGGUAGUACUACUAAGAGCUGAUUUCUAUUUCAAUCUGGGUGAAAUUCAGGUACUGCUGGUUUUUGAAGUUGUAACUACCUGCGGAACCAGCAGGAGGAAGGGGGACGCGAAGGUAUAGCGUGUCGGCUAGGGAGGCCCAGAGGGGCCCAAUCAUCUGCGUGUCGACGAGGUCCCCGGCCCACAAGAGGCACCGCCUGACGUCCCCCUUGGCGCUGCUGCUCUGCAGCUUGGCGUACGCGUACGCCAUGCAGGAGCAGUUCCCGGCGCACCUCGCCGCGCACUCCUCGGCGCUCCUGUUCCCGCCGUCCAGCACGAACUUGUCCGGCACCUUCACCCCCGCCAUGGCCAAGAACCCACUCCCAUGCCCGCACGGCGGCAGCGGCUCCUUCCGCCGGCACCCCUUGGAGAAGUCACCGCCGGUGGCCCACGCCGGCUCGAAGCCGUCCAGGCACCUGCAAGCCGCCGCGGCGACGUCGCAGUACCCGUAGGGCCCGCAGUAGCCGUACCGGCUGCACCCGCUGGACGGCCAUGACCCCACCGUGGCCCACGCCGAGGCGCUGCCGUUCCAGCCGAGGAGCUGGAACUGGCCGGAGCUGGUGAGGACGAACCGCGUGGGGGCCGCGCCGGGGGAGACGGUGAAGGUGUUGGAUAUCUCGUCCUCGGUGUCGACGAUGGCGGUGUACACCACGGUGCCGGUGCCGCUGACGUAGCUGGCCUGGACGGUGUAGCCGUUCCACACGGGGCUGCGCCAGUGAGGGCGCGUCCCGUCCCAGACGAGCAGCUGGAGGGCGGUGUCCGGGUCCAUGCCGUAGGAGAAGCGCCCCGGGGACGGGUCCUCGGGGGAGCUCCAUGACACGAGGCGCCCGCCCUCGUGGGUCCGGUGGUUCAGCCAGACCUUCAUGCCCGGGAGGAACGUGUCGGCCGGGUGGUCGAAGCUCUGCCACAGCGCGGUCCCGUUGGCGGACCGGAGGACCAGGUUGCCGGCGUUCGUGAGCACGGCCAGCGCCGCGGGCGGCGAGCCGCUCGCCAUGCCGGUCGUCCAGACCGCGCGCCCGUCGGCGUCGGACAGGACGAGGUUGGAGGAGUCGUUGUCCAGCGCGAGCCUCGGCGCAGAAGUGCCGUUGGUGAUGGGGGUUUCCCGGUUGGCGACCCACACGACGGUGUUGACGGGGAUGCUGUUGUACCAUAUGCCGAGGUACUGUCUGUCCGGAGUGGAGAUGGACGGGGAGAAGAAGCCCAGAGCGAAGGCGCCGCCGUCCGACACUAGGGGCUUCCCGGGCGCGAGCAGCUCGCCUGCGACCAGCUCGUCGCCGGCCCCCGCGCACGGGCGCGGCGAAAGGAAGAAGAAGCAGACGACGGCCAGGGCCGCGACGACGACGACGCGGCCGGCAGCACGCGCCAUGUCCGUCGAUCGAUCGCGAUCGAUCAACAGCGUUGAUUGAGACGGGAGAAAGAACUCAAGCUUGGCAUUGGCAUGCAGCUAGUAGUAUCAUUUUGCGCUGGAUUGUGAUGUCUGUUGAGUCAGGUCGCGCGCCUUGGCCUGCAAGAAGUCUCUCAACUCCAUUGGAUCCUUCCUGUUGGUUGGAGUUGGAGAUGGACGUUUAUUCAGCGCUUGGACUGGACAGUCUUUCUCUGUGACGCGAUCAAGGCCAACAACUGCACAGUUGAUUUUUUUUAGGGAUGCACAGUUGAUAUCUUAUGCUUUUGGAACGAUGGUGCGACCCGAUUAACGCGCUCAAGUCGCAGGUAAAACCUACGGGUACCUAGACUCAGAACAUAUGAAAGAAAAUCUGAAAUUGUUCCGAACGUUUUAUUCAGUCAUUUGUUACACAAUAUGGAUUUAUUUCUGAAUUUGUUCAUAGUUUGGACCGGACUAGGUGCGACCUUGCGGAGUACGUUGCUCCGCAUGAUUGGAUGGAAAUCUACAAACCAUGAUGCCAUGGUCAAUCUCAUGAGUUACAGUUUAGACUUCAGAGCUGUGCGUGCGUGCAUAUGAACGCGUGCGCGGCGUGCCCUUCACCUCAGUCAACGCGCGCUUUGUCUUCUCACACAGCUUGUUCCUCACACUCUAACUUUGCCCCGACCGUGUUGUUCUACCAUUCUGUUUUAAAAGCAAGCAAACAAAAUUUGCCUUUGUAACAACACGUCAGAGAAGAAGAACAACAACACCUAAUCGCUGACGUAGAAUCACUUCUGUCGAGUUGGGUUUUGUCAUGUCCUGAAUUAUUUUACAGGUAUUUUGAUAAAAGAUGUGGCAGAGUAGGUAAUACAGACACAUUCUCUGUCACACAAAGGUACACCUCGAUGAAUUUUGGUUGGCCGCAAGAUAUAGACUACUCCAGUAUCUGGUCUUGUAAGAUUUAUGCUUGACUUCUUAUCAAGCAAGGGAUUAAGGUAAGAUAUGUGUUGCUGAAGCAAAAAAAAAAAUUGUGGAGGAUGAUAAGUGCACAUUCGGCUGUUCCUUCCUGAGCUAGUAUCUGUAAAGUUAAUACCUACUAAAUGCAUUUAACGUUUGCAAGUUACAAAUGCAAAGUGUCCAUAUCAUCGUUCACAUUACCAUCCACCCCAUGUAUUCUAGCCCACAAGCAAUCCAUUUUGGUGACUCCUACGACUCAACCUUUUAUCUCCUAAGAAUCUUUACCCACGUUGUAUAUAAAUAUUUCACCAAGUAUAAUAUCUAUGAAGUUGAUCCUCACUAAAAUGCAUUUUGUUUGCAAGCUCCAUGUGCAAAGUGUUCACAUCACCAUACACGUCAUGUGUUGUAGCUCGCAAGCAAUUCAUUGUGGUGGCUCCCUACGAUUCAACAUUUUAUCUCGUAAGACUUUUCACCUUGAUGUUGUAUGUAAAUAUUUCACGAACUAUCCUUUUUUUUAUGUGUGCGUUGUUUUUUCUAAGAAAUGCGAAUACUUCCUGAAGCUUUUUUUCGAUUUUCCAAAAUUUACUGUUCAUGUACAUCAAAAUUGCUCCUAUUCUUUGGAUGAUGAAGUAGUUUGGCCAUACAGUAUUCAUAUUUGUUUUGUAUUUGAUCAUAUUAUUAUCAUUUAUUCUUACGUCAUGUCUAGAUGUGCAAACAUAAUUUUUCGUGGCAGCGCGGGGAAUCAACCAGUUGCAUGUGUGGAUCCUUGAUCUACAAGCAAAACAGAUUGCAGAAGAAAAUCCUUUUUUCCCCGAAAAAAAGAUUGCAGAAGAAAAUGAAUAAAUGCUUUGACGAAUGGCUUGUUGUAGCAUCCCCGUAAGUUCCAGACGAUUGAAUAAUGCAAAGUUUUCGGAAUUCUCGUAGAUUUUGGUUUGGCAGUUGACAUUUUAGCUGUCCACGUCGGAGUUUUUUUAAGAACAGUCCACGUCGGAGUUGGGAUGCCACGCCACCGUCAGUGCGACUAGUCAACUAUACUGACUGAAACAUUAGCUAUACUGGUCCGGCCCAGUUUUUGUUUUUGAACACGGGCCGGCCCAGCUGGUCCAGCUCUGGCGCGGCUGAAUCGGAGGGUCAAAACGACGAGGCCCAAGGCCGACAAGACCACGACCCAGCCGCCACGCAUAGUGUGUGUGUUAUGAAGCCCACGCCCACUUAGCAAAGUAAUUGGGCCCAUCGGCAGACGGUCUUCUUUCUUUCAAGAAACAGAACCAUGCCAAGGAAUUAGGCCGGCCUCUGCUGAGCAACACAAGGUUUCGAUUUUCCUGUGGCGUGAUGGUCGAGCGAACGACCGAACGUGGCUCCAGAGCUUCGGACGCGGACCUCAAGGCCUUUUGCGUAAAAGAUGGAGGCAGGUAGAGGUGCAACACCGUGACCUUUAAGGUAUCUUUUAAUUCUCUUUAGUUCAAAUAAAUGAACUAGUUUUUAAAAAAUUGUGUCAUUUUAAAAUUUUAAUCCAUUUAGUUGAACUAAGGAUGGUCAAAGGGUAUCCUGAUGGUCGCAUUUUGCAGCUCUAGAGGUAGGGAGUUUAUAUAAAAAAACAGCUCGACCUGUCAUCCCACGAGUUUGAUAAGUGAUUGUGUCAGAAUGCGAGGUCAUAGGGUAUAAAGAUUGUAUAUGGACGUAUAAUGCAACUUUGAGGACCCAUGAGAGCAGAUUGCAAUAAAGAGAACUAAAUCAGACCGCACCAUCAAAUUUAUGGGUCACGUAUGCAUUCCAUCGUUCUUCCAAUGAUAUGAUAGAAUGAGUGGAAUCAAGUAGUGACCGUGUGCCAUCUAUAAGUGUGCUUUGCGGCUUAUAGUCUGGUCCAUGCUUGCAUAGAGCCAAAAGUCGCUGACAUGAUCAAGUUCCAUGUAAUCUGAACUUUAAAAAUAUAUUUUUUCGAACGGCUGGUGGCCGAACUUUAUUAAAAAAUCAGAGGAGUACAAGGCGGGUGCUUUUCAGAACAAAAGCAGGCGCCCGUGCGUUUAGCAAAAUGGAACUAUUAAUCUGGUCCAAAAUCUGUUUUCACCUUUCAGUUUCUAAGAAACAUGGGUUAGCAAAAUCUUUUCCUAAAGAGAAGGACGAUAUCUAGGAAGAUUGCAGUGGAAACAUGGCUUAACAAUGGGCAAUCAAUGUGCCAACACCAACACAGGUUGCUGAGUGUUUGAACGGACAACGUACGUCCAGCUCCAGCCUCCAGGACGUGCACCCACUAAGAUGUCAGAAACGAAAAAUUCCACACUAAACUGGAAUACGGAGUACUUUAUUCUGCUAUACAGGAAUAUUAAACCUAACAAGGAAUGAUGAAUAGAGAAAUAGCAAGAUAAUAUAUAAUAUACAUUGUACAAUAAGCAAAAUUGUGACAAUUUGGGAAUAGAGAAAUCAAAACAUCGACGACUUUUCUCGGCAAGAAAAACAUCGACGACUGGAAGCUGCAUGAUGACUUCGUCAGGCUAUUUCAGACUUGGCUCGAGUUGACAUUAAUUUGUUCCUCUUCCCACUUCGUUGGUACUUCCUUCGAUCCAUAUUAAUUGUCAAAAUCUUACAUGUAUCCAGACGAUUUUUAAGCAUAGAUACAUCCAUAUUUGGACAAAUUUAAAACAAUUAAUAUGAAUCGGAGGUAGUAGGAUAAUAUUGGUAUUCCGAGCCACGCGGGAGCUGUGGCUGAUUAAGUAGCAUUAGAGGGUUCAAACCUUGAAAGAAAGACUGCUAUAAAAAAUCCUCACGGCUGAUGUCUUGCCGGCGAGGGGCUAGCACAUGUGUGUUACCAGCAAAAAAAAGUGGGCAUGUGUAAUGAUUAGUGGCUAUCCUUUGAUGAUCACGUGUAACUUGGUCAAAAUUCGUUAUCGAGUUUACACUCGCCUGGGUGGAUAAUUGGUUUGUGAGAGGAUCUUACGGGCUUACGGCAUAUCCCGGAAACAAUCGACCCAGCACAUGCUAUAUGUCCUCGGGAGUGUUUGAAAGGAGGGACCGUAAUAGUUGCCAAAUCUUCGACGCGGCAAAGAUGAAUUGUGAUGAAAUAUAUUUCAAGGUUGUUUAUUGUUAUUUGUUUCGUAUCAUAGGUUGAUAGUUUUUUCUUAUAAAUUUGGUCAAACUUUUAAAAGUUUGACUUAAGACAAAAAUCAUAUGCUUUAUAAUAUGGAAAGAAGGGAAUAGCAUGCAUGACAAUUUUGUCGAGUGCGUCUUUUUUUGGACCGAUACUGUUCUGCAUAUCUUUUCUGAUAAAUAUAUACAACUAUAUAAUUGUAUGAUUAUUAUUUCAUCGCCCUUGUAUCUCAGUAAGAGUAAAAUUGUUCACAGAGUUCUGAAUAUCAACUCCGAUUUGCUCCAUUUCAGCGCUCCGCCGCGCAAAGUAUGCAGGGCGAUUAGGCACCGGCAAUGUUGUGCUUCCGUUCUCCAAGACAAACACUACGGCUGACAUGGCCGGCCUAUCAUCUGGAUUUUCCUGGACACAUAAGAGAGCUACGUGGAUGCAAAGCAACACUUCAUCCGAUGAAGAAGUGUCCAUGAUAGAUGAGUCCAGCAAUUCCUUCGUCUUUCCUUCCUUCCACAUACUCCAAGACUGCAAAAAAAAACAUUGCAUAUUUUUUCGUUUUGGUUGUUAAACAUUUUUCAACAACUAUGUUUGUAUUUAUACAACUUUAGAGUUCUUUCCAUAUAUACUCACAUAGAUUAUGAGGUUAGGGUAGUCCAUGGUAGCGGAGCUUCUCCGUUUGCCGGUUACAACCUCCAAUAGUAACACACCGAAGCUAUAGAUGUCGGACUUGGUAGAGAAUAUGCCUUCCAUUGCAUACUCAGGAGUCAUGUAGCCAUUGUUUGAUCAUUUCAUUUGCAAGAGUUAUAUGUUGAACGAGAUUAAUUUGGAUUUAUUUACAAGUUACAAUGAAAAUUCUACUCACUAUGUUCCAACAACGCGUUGAGUAUUUGCAUUUUGCUGGUUGUCACCGAAGAUUCUCGCCAUACCAAAAUCCGCUAUCUUGGGUUUCAUAUCUGCAUCUAACAAAACAUUUCCAGCUUUUAGAUCUCUGUGAAUUAUGGUCAAUCUUGAAUCUUGGUGGAGGUAAAGAAGUCCCCUUGCAACCCCUUUGAUUAUAUUAAACCGCGUCGCCCAAUCCAACAACAAUUUUCUUGAAUCAUCUGUGGCCAGAAACAAAUGUAAGAAAAUGUGUUUUAGAUUCGUCUUAGGAAAUCAUGACGUGUGUUGCAAGAGUAUGUACCAAAAAUGGUAGCAUCUAAGCUCUUGUUAGGCAGAUACUCGUAAAUCAACAACUUUUCAUCUCCCUCCCCACAACAUCCAAGAAGCCGAACCAAGUUUCUGUGUUGCAAUUUGGCAAUUAGAAUUACUUCAUUCUUGAAUUCCUUUAUCCCUUGCUGUGAAUCCUUGCUUAGCCUCUUGACAGCAACUUCUUGGCCACCUAACAUUCCCUACGGAGUUGUGUGGAAAUUUAUAUCCGGAUUUGUCUUGUGAGCAACUCAAUUUUACCGAUUUAAGAACAGAGGAUAGGAAACUACUAUCGAACUACUUACCUUGUAUACUUUUCCAAAGCCUCCUUGUCCAAUUACACACGUUUCAGAGAAGUUGUGCGUUGCUAUGGCAAUUUCCUCAAAUCUUACAAAUGGGAAUUCAUGAUCGCGUGGAGGGUUUCCUUUCCCAAGUUCAUAAGAGAUACUCAUACUAUCCAAUGUCUAUCAUCUUCUGCUUUCUCUUUUUCCUGUUCUUCCCUGCUCCCACAAUUUCAUAAACAUUUCAAUUCAGGAAAUAUACCUUGCAAUUUAAUCCACAAGAGAUGGUCAAAUGGACUUUAUCAUCAGGAAAUAACCCUAUACGUACUAAGGUACCUUGCAAUUUUAGCCAUGCCAGGAAAAUGCACAUGAGGAUCACAAUAGUACCGCCCAAAACUGGCAGAGAAAUCUUAACCGUGGUGCUGUGUUUACCUGUGCAAAACGUACACACACAUAGCACAUCGCACGAAAUAAAUGGAAAUACAUCUGUGAAAACAAGAAAUUCAGAUCAAGAAUUGGUACCAUCCGUUGCGUCCAGGCCUGCAAUGCGGAGAUAGAGCGUGUAGCUGCCGAGCGCCUCGGCGCCGACCUUCCCGUCGUCAAUCAGCCCGCCGGCCCACACGAGGCACCUCGUCAAGUUUCGCCGCGGCGACUUCCCGGCGUCGCUGCUGCCCAGGUUGGCGUACGCGUACGCCACGCACGAGCAGUUGCGGCCGCACUCCGCCGCGCACUCCUCCAGCGUGCCGCCCCGGUCCCCGCCGACCACCGCGAACCCGUCGGGUGACUUCAUCCCCGGCAACGCCAAGAAGCCGCCGUCGUUGCCGCACCCAAGCAGCGGUUCCUUCCGCCGGCACCCCUCCGAGAACUUCCCCUGGCCCCACUCCCCUGCGCUCGCCGGCUCGAAGCCUUCGAGGCACGCGCACGUCGGGGACGAUGGCGCCGCCGCCGUCUCGUCGCAGUACCCGUACGGGCCGCAGUGGCCGUAGCGGCUGCAUUCCGUGGACGGCCAGUGCGCGAGGACGGCCCACGAUGACGAGGCGGCGCUCCAGCUCUGGAGCUGGUAAGUGCCGGAGUGCGUCACCACGUACCUGGUGCGCCCGGCGCCGUCGGAGAGCGUGUAGGUGAGGUAGAUCUCGUCGUCUCCGUCGACGAUUGCCAGGUAGACGACGAUGGCCGCGGCGCUGCUGGCGUUGUCCUUGGCCGCGCCCGCCGGUGGCGGCUGGUACCGGCGCUCGCUCUUCACCAGGUACCCGUUCCACGGCGCGCUGCGGGCGACCGGGCGCGCGCCAUCCCAGAGGAACACCUGGAGGGACGUGGCCGGGUCGCCGCCGUAGGAGAAGCGCCCCGGCGAAGGGUCGCCGGGCGCGUUCCAGGACACCAGGCGGUCGCCGGCGCGCGUCCUGUACCUCAUCCGGAUCUUCAUGCCCGGCAGGAACGUGUCCGUCGGGUGGUCGAAGCUCUGCCACAGCGUGGUGCCGUUUGCCGAGCGGAGGACCAGGUUGCCGCUGUUCAGGAGCACCGCCGUCGCCGCCGGAGCUGCGGCCACGUCGGUCUCAGGCGUCGUCGUCCAAAGGACGCGGCCGCCGUCGGAGAGGACGAGGCUGGAGGUGUCGGUGAGGGAGAGCGUGGGCGCGGAGGAGGAGUUAGUAGUGUUUGUGGCCGGGGUUUCUCGGUUGGCGACCCACACCACGGUGAGCUCGGGGAUGCCGUUGUACCAUAUGCCGACGUACAGCCUUGCCGGAGUAGUGGAGUUGGAGGGGCUGAAGAAACCCAGGGCGAAGGCGCCGUCGUCGGAGACGAUGGUAGCGCCAGGGGAGAGCGGCUUGCCGGGGACGAGGCGGUCGUCGGCCGCACGCAACGGCAGGAAGAUCACAAGGAUCAGGAUAGUGAUGGAGCACGCGAGAGCCCACCGGUCCAUUGGUCGAUCGGACAGGCCCAAAAAACUUCUGUUGUACUGUACGUACGAGCAUGUGGAAAGGAAUGUAAUCCGCUAGUCGUACACAGUGACUCGUACUACUAUUUCGUUGUUGAUGCUGACAUGCUGUUGUUUACAAGCCUUGAUCGGACCCGUUCCAGCAUUCGAUCGCGUGGAUUACGAAAGCAGAUGGCUGAAAAAUGCAUAGUUCUUGAAUCCUGCGGUAGGAGCUCAGAGUGUUUUGGAUUUGACAUCUCAGCUGUCCACGUCGGAGCAGAGCGCGAUACGGCGAUAGUCAUCGUGCUCGUGUGAACCCAGCUGGUCAAACCGCGGCACGGUUGAAUCCAAACAAACUUUACCCUAUUUUUCUAGGGAAACAAACCUUUUAGCUUUGUAAUUGAGGCCCACGGGCCACGGGAAUUAAUGGCCCAGCGAGAGCUCUACCCAGUCACCCACCCACGUCCGGCCUAGUCGCGGGGUGCGGCCUCGCUGGUCGGUCGUCGCUUCGUGUAAUAUACUCCGAUUAGGCAAAUUAGGCAAAUCCGAACUGAUCUCCAAUAAGAAAGCCAAUCCGAACGCAUCACGUAAUUCCGGCAGCAGCUAUAUUUAGUGACUCCUGUAUGCAGCUCGAUCGAUGCCUUGGAUCUCUUGAUGCUCCCCAGACCGAUUGAAUCGCCUGCCUCGAUCGAAGAUACAACACUUGGUUAAGUUUGAUACUACUACCAAAUUAACGAAUUUGAUUUAGAUCGGAGAGAGAAGAUGGGAUCGUCGUCAAGAACAGGGAAUAACCGAGUGGAGGAUCGUCCGGAGGAGGAGGAGGACGAGUUGUUCGUGGCCCGUGUCGGCUUGUCCGUGACCUUUGUCGUCAUCUUCAUCCUCUUUCUUCUCGUCGACACGGGCGUGAUCAAUCCCGGCGCCCCCAAGUUUCUCAAGAUCUUCUAUGGGGUGACGGGGCUCAUCUGCCUGCUCGGUGCUGCCAUCCUCGUAGUCGACUGCCUGCGUGAACGGGAACACUGGCCGGCGCCCUUUCGCCGUACGCGCAUUGCCGGGCCCGCCGAUCUGCCGGCCUGCGACGCGUGUUAGUCUGCUAGCUAUAUUGCCUGCCCUUUUUUUCACCAAGAAGCUGGAGUACCUUUUUUUUUAGGUGUUCACCAAGUAGCUACCUUGCCUGCCUUGGUUCGGCUCAUCGAUCUUACCGUUAUAAUAGGGUUUUUUUUCGUGCUUUGCCACAGCCUUUAAAAUACACCGGUUACCAAAUAAUGUAAUGUUUGUGUGUUGCAACGGACAAACAAAUUUGAUCUAUGUACUUGUUUCCUGAUGUUUUUUAUUUUAUUUGAUCUAUGUACUUGUUUAUUGGUUAAGAUACAUGCGAAGUACGAUAUGAUGUACUCGUCUCAUAAUGAUCUAUGUAUUGUUUAUUCAUGAUUUUGAUUUUUUUUAUCUACGUACUUGUUUCUUGGUUAAGGUACAUAUGAUGUACGAUAUGAUGUACUCGUCUCAUAAGAGGUAUGGUACCAAAUUAUCACAGAUGUUCAUGCUAUGAUUUUUUUUAAUAGCUGUGAUGUACCAUACGAUGUACUCGUCUCCUAAGUGCAUAUACUCGAGGUACUCAAAAUCUGAUAAAAUACAUGCCAUGCACCAUAAUGUAUUUAUCCAUGUACCAUAAUGUACUUAUAAGGUAUAGUUCAUAUACUUACAAAAGGAAAAAAGUCCGAGUGCCUAACAAAAAAAAAAGAGAGAAGAGCAAAAGUUGUUAGGUUUUUUAAUUUAAAGCAAAAGACAUUAACCAAGAGGAAGAUGGAGAAGGCCAAACAUGUAGCCAGCACCGUGGGCGCAAAUGCCACCAGUGGCACCAUUUCUGAAGGGGCGCGUAGAGAUAAACAAAAACUUUUUCUACACGAACUCCCAAGAUCUAGCCGAGGUAGAAGGCCACGAGGAUUACCACUAGACGCGCAGUUGCGGAUUAUCGAUGCAGCGCCUUGAUGCAGUGCAGUCCCUCGAUCCGAUCCAGCCGAUCCAAUCCCGCGAUCGUCGAAGUGCUGAACGUACAGCACCUCUGCCGGUAUCCACACAUGCGAGGAGGAGCUCCGGCGGCGGACUGCUAGGUCCGGUGCGAUGGUUGGACUGAAUGGGGCUAGGGUUCUCAACGCAUGAGAGUGGCGAACCGUGCCCCUUAGGCAUCCCACGCCCCUGCUUAUAUACCGAGUGGAAGUGGGCUUCAGCACUUGUGGCCCAUCCACUCUGCGAGUCGAACUCGCAUUGUCAGUCCAUUUCCGGUUUGGGUCCAACCCGACCAAAUACUUGCUUCCGCUCUUAAGUGUGUGACCCCGCAGGCUCAUGGCGACUUGGACACGAUUGGAGUCCGACUCUCAAUCGAUCAACCUGUAGCGGCUCCUAGCAGAACGUGCCGACUCCCAAGUACCAUCGAGUCAUGACGACGUACCUUCCAAUGUGACAUACGUCUUAGUCCCUUUUGCCUCACGAUAUACCUUGUCGAACUAUAGGCGAUUAAUCGUCAUCCCUUUAAUAGUUCAACUCUCUUCUCGAUCUGUGAUAUGCGAUUCAUCCGACUAACUCUUAGUCGAUCGACCCAGUUAACAGUUAACCGAGUCGCGCAUGGCCAUGCUUCCCGAAUCAUAUCACUCGAGAGGGCCCAGAGAAUAUCUCUCCAGUCGGAGGGGCAAAAUCCCAUCUUGGUUAUCCACAUCACAUAGCUUGAUUCUCAGUCAACUCGAACUCUGCCUUUAUAACUGCCCUGUUACGGAACAACGUUUAACAGAACCUAAGUUGGUGAUCCACAACUCGGAUUGUGCGAUAACCUCAGGUCUAAGGAUUACAUUGAUUGAGACAUGCAAAUGACGACCUACUCGUUGCAUCUCAAUAUGGGUCAGUCCGACUCGCUAAACUCUUUAGCCGAGUCCGUGUAAGCUGGAAUGACAUCACCAUGC
rnacentral:lncRNA from 1 species